UGGGCUGUUCGCCCAUUAAAGCGGUACGCUAGCUGGGUUCAGAACGUCGUGAGACAGUUCGGUCCCUAUCCGUCGUGGGCGUAGGAAAUUUGAGAGGAGCUGUCCUUAGUACGAGAGGACCGGGAUGGACAUACCUCUGGUGUACCAGUUGUCGUGCCAACGGCAUAGCUGGGUAGCUAUGUAUGGACGGGAUAAGUGCUGAAAGCAUCUAAGCAUGAAGCCCCCCUCAAGAUGAGAUUUCCCAACUUCGGUUAUAAGAUCCCUCAGAGAUGAUGAGGUUAAUAGGUUCGAGGUGGAAGCGUGGUGACACGUGGAGCUGACGAAUACUAAUCGAUCGAAGACUUAAUCAAUUU
rnacentral:rRNA from 1 species